rnacentral:tRNA from 1 species
GAUUCGUUAGCUCAGCUGGUAGAGCAUCUGCCUUUUAAGCAGAGGGUCCCGAGUUCGAACCUCGGACGAAUCA